rnacentral:rRNA from 1 species
UACGUAGGGGGCAAGCGUUGUCCGGAUUUACUGGGCGUAAAGAGCGUGUAGGCGGCCAAACAGGUCCGUUGUGAAAACUGGAGGCUCAACUUCCAGACGUCGACGGAAACCGGUGUGGCUAGAGUCCGGAAGAGGAGAGUGGAAUUCCUGGUGUAGCGGUGAAAUGCGCAGAUAUCAGGAAGAACACCAAUGGCGAAGGCAGCUCUCUGGGACGGUACUGACGCUGAGACGCGAAAGCGUGGGGAGCGAACAGG